rnacentral:misc_RNA from 1 species
GAUGAAGAACGCAGCGAAAUGCGAUACGUAAUGUGAAUUGCAGAAUUCAGUGAAUCAUCGAAUCUUUGAACGCAUAUUGCGCUCUCUGGUAUUCCGGAGAGCAUGCUUGUUUGAGUAUCAGUAAACACCUCAACUCCCUUUUCUUUUUUGAAAUUGGAGCUGGACUUGAGUGAUCCCAACGCUGUCUUCCAAGAAAGUGGCGGGUUGCUUGAAAUGCAGGUGCAGCUGAACUUUUCUCUGAGCUAUAAGCAUAUCUAUUUAGUCUGCCUAAAAAACAGAUUAUUACCUUUGCUGCAGCUAACAUAAAGGAGACUAGUUCUUGUGCUGACUGAUGCAGGAUUCACAGAGACAGCUUCGGCUGACUUUGUAAACUCGAUCUCAAAUCAAGUAAGACUACCCGCUGAACUUAAGCAUAUCAAUAAGCGGAGGA